rnacentral:rRNA from 1 species
UACAAUGGCGUAAACAGAGGGAAGCGAGCCUGCGAGGGGGAGCGAAUCCCAAAAAAUAACGUCCCAGUUCGGAUUGUAGUCUGCAACCCGACUACAUGAAGCUGGAAUCGCUAGUAAUCGCGGAUCAGAAUGCCGCGGUGAAUACGUUCCCGGGUCUUGUACACACCGCCCGUCACACCAUGGGAGUCGGGAACACCCGAAGUCCGUAGCCUAACCGCAAGGGGGGCGCGGCCGAAGGUGGGUUCGAUAAUUGGGGUGAAGUCGUAACAAGGUAAC